UACCUACCGGAUAGAAUGUCGUUAAAAUAUAACUGUUCAUUCAUUAUCGCGCUUCUAGCAAUACCCGCCCACCCAUAUUUAAGGUGUUGCUCGAGCAACACUUGAACCCUAGGGUACACGCCACUGCAGAGAUAUACUGAACCGUCCGAAUACGCGUAAAUGAAAUGCAUAUACUAUAUUGUUCCGACAUCGCAUUCCCGUUCACCCGGAACAAGGAACACAAAAAUGAUUAUCGAACGCGAUGUGUGGU